GCAAAACUUUCGGACAAAAUAGAAGGAAGAAUUAAUAAUUUUUUAACUGCUUUGUAUUGUAUUGUUUUCUGUGCUAUUGCAUCUGUGUGUAUGGUGGCAAUCAAUGUUGGAUAUUAUAUGCUUGUCGUAAAUGUUAAGAGAUAGAUCAUCCCUGAUCAGGGAAAGCUGCAAAGACAAAUGUUGGUAGGGCAAACUGCUUCUUGCUUCCUCUGGGUGAGACAGAGGAAAAAAAACUGCUGGCUUUUUACCAUCAAAAAGGAGACCUAAAAUCUUGUUAAACUCUAGGUAUAGGAGACACAACAGGUCUUCUUGAUGGAUUUUUUUUUUUUUUUUUGCUGUGAUUUCUGCCUCUGGAAAGGAACUAAGCAAAGGAAGACAGCUGGAACGCCUAUCUGCUGACAAAGGGAAAAUGAGGCCUGGAACCUUGGAAAAACUCUAAGUCAUAAAAGCCAUUGACACCAAGGCCCUUGUAUAGGGUGGAGACAUCUCAAAUGAGAAUCUUAUAACCUGCUUCAGAGGAGAAAGGUGAGGGGAAGGAGAGAGUGAUCUUCCUGCUUCUAGUGUUUUCUCAAAUGCCACGAUGCCAUAUUUUGUGGUAGCACGUCCUGAACUCCAUCAAUACAUGUCCAUGUAUGCUUCUGCACAAGAAUGCUUGAGUUUUCCCAAUGACAUCAUAGCUGUCUUUCCCUAGAGCAAGCAAUCAAGAAGAUGAAAUGCCCCUUACGGCCUAGCCUCAGAAGUUGCACAGUGUCACCUCUGAAUAUUUUAUGGGUCACAACAAGGCCAUAAAUGCCAGAAUUUGAGAAUCUUUGGGCGCAUCUUGGGAGCUGGCUAUCACACAAUAAAAUGGUCUAAGUAUAACAGAUGCAGGAUCUAGCACUUGAACAUAGUACUAGGGAUUCUUGCUAUCAUUGGCCUGUGAUUAUGUCAGAAGGGUUUUCAGGGAGGGGUGUUGGAACCCUAGGUGCUGGGUGGCAUUGGAGGGUCAGACUGAGACCUAGGCUAUUUACUGACUGAAACUGUCAGCUGAAUAUUAAUUACACACAACGUGCGCACACACAAACACCCCUACACAGUAUUUUGGCACCUAGAAUCAUUCAAUAAAAAAAGAAUAACACUGAUGGUAGUUUCUUUUGCUGUGCAGAAGCUCUUUAGUUUAAUUAGAUCCCAUUUGUCAAUUUU
rnacentral:lncRNA from 10 species